rnacentral:lncRNA from 1 species
GUGGUGGCCUUACUCAGCAAGACCUGGGCCUGCUGGGGUUCACCCGAUCGCAGUCAUCGCGAUGGGGCCACGUGGUAAAACAGCGCCCCACGCUUGUCAAUGGGGUGGCCGCGAUGUCCAGUUUCCCAGUUUGAGCCCGCUGUCCUCAGAUUCUUGGAGACACCAGCUAUAGACAGAAACCCCCAAAGGCAGGAGCAGAUUUGUUUCCACGUCUCAUCUGUGGUUUACAAACAAGUUGGGAGAGACUUUGGUGCACAGCUACAGACUGAGCCGGUUUACUGCACAUUAUAAAUGGAAAUCUUUAUUUUUUUUUUUUCUCUCUGUUUUUAAGAAAUCCUGUUGCAAGGUCAUUAAUCACAUUAUCCAUUAUACCAGAAACAAAUGGAUUUGUCACUUGUUCGCAGAAGCUGAGGCCGCUUCUGGAAACAAAUUGUAUCAAAAUAAAUGAAAUUAUUAUGAUAAUAUAAAAUAGACGGCAGUGAUUAAUCUCCAGAAACCAAAUUUUGACCUGCUUUGCACUUCAAACAAUAGCUUCUGUUAUGUAAAUAGUUGUGGGGUUUUCAAGGACAGUGUUGCUAAAUUACAAGAAAAGUUCUUUUCAUGAAAAAUCUCUUCAUGGGUAAACAGUAGAGACAGGAAAUCUGAUCUACACAACAGCCAAAGCAGAGGACAGUGAAAGUUAUGAUGGUUCAGACGGAUGCCUGAGAACCUUCCAGUGCCGAUAAAAGGAAAGUCUUUCCGGCCACAAGACUUCUCUAUUAAUUAAGUCCACAAAGCAAGUUCCUUGUCCGACUAUUUUUUUCAUGAUAAUUGCUGCAGCGUCUGGCUCUGACAGAAAGGAACCACAGCUCAGUGUCAGAAAUAGUUGUGGUUCCAAGGUCCUAAUGACACAGGGAUGGCAGCCUUCGCGGAGAAAAAAAGACAAACGUCAAUUAGCACAGACUUUUGAACGCGAGCCAGAAAUGUCUCAAAGCAAAGGCCAGUCGCCAUGGAUCAAAGGUCCCCCCUUUGUAUAUAUACACGCACACCUUUUUCUUUUGUUUUCUCUUCUCUUAAAUUAGC